rnacentral:rRNA from 1 species
UACGAAGGGGGCUAGCGUUGCUCGGAAUCACUGGGCGUAAAGGGCGCGUAGGCGGAUCUUUAAGUCAGGGGUGAAAGCCCAAGGCUCAACCUUGGAAUUGCCUUUGAUACUGAGGAUCUCGAGACCGGAAGAGGUGAGUGGAACUGCGAGUGUAGAGGUGAAAUUCGUAGAUAUUCGCAAGAACACCAGUGGCGAAGGCGGCUCACUGGUCCGGUUCUGACGCUGAGGCGCGAAAGCGUGGGGAGCAAACAGG